UCUUUAGAAAGGUACUUGUAGUAACUGGCCCAAAUUGUUGAAUUUUCCACUUUCUGAGUUCUUUCAUUGGAGUUUGUUUUCUCAGAAAGUUUGGGGUUUUAAAGUUAUUACUGACCAUAUCCAAAGGUAAUCCUGACUGAAUUAUUUUCCUGAGAUUGCAGAUCUUGUUAAUUUCUGAAUUGUAUACUUUACUUGGAGUGUAGAUGGUUGUUGUUUCUUACCAUAUAACAAAUUAUCCUAAAAUAUAACAGCUUAAAACAGCAACUUGAUAACUUAAGUCCGUUGUAGCUUACUUCUUCUCUCAAUGAAUGAUCCAAGAAAAGAGACAGAAGUUUCAGUCUCAAAACCUAGGCUUGUUAAGUUUUUUCUGUAUCCUGUUAGUCCCAAAACCCAAUCCCGCUAAUGUGUAGGAGGAGAUUAUGUAAGGGCAUGAGUACCAAGAGAAGAUGAAAAUUCUGGAGGGCCAAUAGAGUCUGGCUAGCACAUAAUCUGUUGCUUCAGGAUACUUUCUCAUUAAUACAUGCAGAAGAGUUUGCCAGUUUUCCCAAUUGGCAGAAUGCUAAUUACCAAAAACCCCCAAACAUGCUGCCGUGGAGUCCAUUCUAAGUUAUAGUGACCCCAUACGGGUUCCAGAGACUGCAAAUCUUUACCAUAGUUGGCAGCCUCGUCUUUCUUACACAGGGCAGUUGGUAGAUUUGAACUGUUUACCUAGUGGUUGGCAGCCCAAUACAUAGCCCAUAGGGCCACGAGGGUUCCUUAGUAGUCUCUCUUUUCUGUUUUUUACUGCUCAGGAGAUCUUUGCUAGCAGAGACAUCCCACUCCUUUUCCUUUAGUGUUUUGCUGCUGCUUCUGGUAGUUUGAAAAGUAAUGAAGCUGUCAACAAGGUAAAGCAUACCAAGUUUGGGGAUAUAUUACUAUACAUCCUUUAUAUUAUUGUAACUCCAAAUCAGGCUGGAUGCUGGGCAAAGAUACUUCUAACUUAGCCUAUGAUAAUCUGUCUAAAGCAUGUGGAGUAAUAUACUUGAAAUUAUCUUUGUUCUGUUUUGUUUUUUCCCCAAACAUAGCAAAUUGAAAAUCUUACCUGCUCUACAUUGGAGGAUUGAAAUAAUUUGUUAGAAAUAGAAGUUUAUUAUGUACAGUUUUAAAAGAGCAAUUAAAACCUCGUGGCUACAAUCUUAAGCUUGAAAUGAGAAAAACGUGUCCAAUGAUUAAAUUUUUCCCACUGCUGUUCACAUCAUGAUUUGUUGUGAUUAAUGUAUGUGGAUGAGGACAUAAUGAAGAAAAAAAUUGAGACUUACAUUUAUGAUGUCCUUUCUCUGCGUUGAUUCUUCUGUCUGAACAUUUUUACUUUUAGGAGUAAAAUUGAACAGUAUUUUUCUGAGAGAAGAGUAUUGUAUUUAUCUGACUGAUAAUUUCAAGACUAAUAAGGGUUGUACUGUGCAUGAAACUGCAGAAUUGGAAUGGAAUGAUAGACGAUAACAGAUGGCCACUGGAAUGCUGACAUUGCCUGUUCGAGAGACUUGGCAAGUAAACUGAGGAAGCGAGUGAAGCCAAACUUGGACAGAUGAGGAAAGGGCUCUGUGGCACAUGAUAAAGAUGCUCAAAGGAGGUGAUACCAGCACUACAGAUAAUUCGUAACAUUUAGUACAGAGGAAUACAUUUUGAGAACUGAUUCAAAGUUUAAAGAAUACAAUGAUACAAAAAUCAGUGCUUUUUCAAAUUAUUAUGCAGUGAAUAAUUUUUUACUAUGUUUUCAUAAAACCAACAAGGAAAUUUUUAGUUUGGAGCAUUUUAAAGGUUGUGAUAUAUUCAACAAAUAGAUUUUUUUUAAACCAUUUUAUUGGGAGCUCUUACAGAUACAACAAUCCACAAUUCAAUUAGAUCAUAAUUGUACAAUAGCUGCCACCAUCAGUUUCAUAUAUUUUAUUUAUUUUGCAGUACCUUACACCAUCCUGUGUCCGUUCACCUACAAUUGUUACCCAGUCCCCCAAAUAGUUGAUUAAUAUUGCAUUUUUAGUUUGUAUUGUCUGUGUACUUGAAAUAAAAUAAUCUUCAUAUUUGGCCAAAUAUGAAUGUCAAAUGUAGAAGCAUUUUAUCAUAUGAUACCAAUAUUUUUCAUAUUGCCUUGGCAAGCUUUUUCAAAGCUGUGAAAUAAAAUUUUUAUAAUAUCAAA